AUGUGGAUGGGUUUUAUCCAAUUAGUUGAAGGUGUUAAGAGAAAAGACCAAGGUUUCCUGGAAAAGGAAUUCUGCCACAAAACUAACAUAAAAAUGCAGUGUGAGUUUCUAGCCUGCUGGCCUGCCUUCACUGUCCUGGAGGAGGCAUAGAGAGACCAGGUGGACUGGAGUAGACUGUUGAGAGACGCUGGUCUGGUGAAGAUGUCCAGGAAACCACGAGCCUCCAGCCCGUUGUCCAACAACCACCCACCAACACCAAAGAGGUUCCAAAGACAACCUGGAAGGGAAAAGGGACCCACCAAGGAAGUUCCAGGAACAAAAGACUCUCCCUAAAAGACCACCGCUUCAAAAAAACCUGAGGAAUGGAGUGGGCCAACACUAUCCAGCCACUCUGACCAGCUGAACGAGGAACUCAAUCAAAAUGAGCCACAGUAGGACCACAAGGGCAAGGAGACCACCACCUUCUCGAGCGUCUCUUUGGGCAGUCAGUAAUUCCAGGGCAAGGCCAGAAACCUCAAGGCUAUCUGGAAAGUCUCCAGAGGUCUAACCCCAGAUAAGUAGCCAACAGGGUGUAGAGUACAUUUUACACCCCAAAGGGUAUGCCCCAUGGUGAUGAAAAUAAAAUGAACGUGUUGUAAAA